CUAUUAAAUUGAUAAGUUAACUAACAACACAUGAUAAAUACAAAGAUAUAGAAAAAUAUUUGGGUAAUUCGGGUACCUGGGGAUAUUACUUGAAUUACCUAAACUAAUUUCGGGUAAUCAAAAUCGCUAUCCGAAUUUAGGAUCGGGUAGCUCGGUCGGAUAAUUUGGAUCCGGGUCCGGGUAAUUCGGGUACGGUAAUGGGUAUCGGGUAAUUUCCGCAGACUUUAGGUUCUCCGCCCUCGCGCGCUCCUCUACCAUGGCCGGCGGCGUCGCCUCCGCCUCCGCGUCCCUCCCCGACGUGCCCAAGUCGGCGCCGGCCCCGGAGGAGGCAAGCAGAAUCAGCUCCGCGUGGAGCUGUUCAACUACGGCCCCAGAUCUGCGUAGACUAACGGUGGUGGCCAAGAUGAUAAAGAUAUCUGAAAGAGGCAUUUUCAGCAACUUGUCAAUUCUUCAAUGACCUGUUUGUGAGCUGUCACCCUACUUCAGUGUUUGUGGUGAGAGUGUGCCAUUGGUGGAAUUGGUGUCUGCUGGUCCACAUUUUAGGCAGAUUUUGGUAUAGAGCAGUCGCCUGAAAUCUCUGUUAGCUUCAGGCGCUGUUGAUGGAGCUUGAAGAUCUGUGCACUCUGUUGGGUUUGUAUUGAAAACGAACGUGAUCCACUGGAAGCCAGACCUGCCAACACGAAUGGACCGGGCAUUUCAGAAUUUCUCGAGCUUGUCGCAGGACGGCGACGGCGACUCUUGUAGCAAACUCCGUGCUCCUCCCAAUUGAGCUGCGUUGGAGCCUCCACGUCGUUGAUUCAGAGGCUCGAUCGCCUCCGCCAUUCCUUGAGUCGGCACCUACCUGCGUUCGCUGCAUGUUCCGUUGAGUACAUUCUGAGUGUAGGUGAAGGACAAGUUGCCCAGUGCAUCAGCGGAUCCAUAGCUAUGGAUGUCCCAACACCUUGUGGUCCCCUCUGGUAAUCUAUGCAUCACUAAGCUCCUUAUCCUGGCUCUCGUGAUUGUUAAUCUUUGUGCAUAACAUUUAGCAGCUUGUUUUUAGUAGUUUCUUGUGAUUUGUGCUGACACACCUAUUCCUUUGUUUAUUGUGAUUUGUGCAAGUCCACACCAAAUUUUUGUCCUUUUCCUUUCCUAGAAAAAAAUGUUUCUUGUGAUUUGUGGUAACACAUUUUUUGCUUUGUUUAUUGUGAUUUGUGCAAGCCCACACCAAAUUUUUGUUCUUGUCUUUUCAUAGAAAAAAAUUGUUAUUUAUGAUUUGUGCCAACACAUUUAAGCUAUUUGUCUUUGUCAUAGUAUAGAAAAAAGAUUGUAAUUUGUUACAUGUGAUUUUUGCCAGCACAGACAACAUUUUUGUCCUUGUCUUUCCAUAGAAAAAAUUGUUAUUUGUGAUUUGUGCCAACAUAUUUUUGUUAUUUGUCUUUGUCAUACUACAAAAAAAAUUGUAAUCUAUUUAUUGUGAAAAUGUAAUCAUUUACAGCUGCAUGGUGGGCUCCAAAACUGUAACACCAUAAAUUUUGCUUCUUUGAAAAUAGAGCUAAAAUAAUUUAUUUGGUAUUUCUGUGCUCAUGAAAAUAUAGUAAAAUAAAAUUUUUCCUUAAAUUAAAAUUUAUUAUAGGGUUUAGCAACGUUGUUGUGCAUACAUGCUGGUACAUAUGUUUUAUGUGAUGAUAUAAUAGAAAAAUAAUCUUUCGAAGGACGUAAUUUUCUCCUUCCUAAACCAGACGUUGGCUUUCCUUCUUGUGCUUUUCCUUGGAUCACGACUGUAAAUAUCAAAGCUACUCCACGCAUCUUCUUUUAAACCCUUAAAUACUCUAAUCGAAUCCAUCAGUACCCAACGCAAUCCGCCGCCGCCGCCGCUGAGUUAUUCGUCGAUCUGCCAUUGGAGUGUUCUCUGCUCAUGCAUAAAAGCCAAGCCUCUACGUUGUUUUCCUGGUCAAGAAUCGUAUCUUCUUGCUCCCCGCACAGAAACGUGCAGCGCCCAAGCCCUAACUAGCCAACACGCACUAAGCGCCGUUCAAAUCCCCGCCGCCGCCGGCUCGCUUCGCAUUGUCGUCCCCAGGAGAAGUUUUGCCAAGCAGGCACGGAGUUGAUCUUGAUCCAUGGUUUAUCCUCAUCUACUCACCAUGGGAGUUUAUUGCUCAAGUGAAGAUGUGUGGCCGCCUCAAUUUUGUGGCACCGUCAGGUUCGCGUGGAGUUGCCAUCCACCGUCGGAGUGUGCAAAGCCGAGCGGCCGUGGUCAUCUUGUCUACCUUCGGCUGUAAACGCUUUCAACAAUCAACACCCAGCCUUGUCCUCCACUGUGGUCGUUCAUGCUGAAGCAAGGUGAUGCCCCUGAAGCAUCGUCGAGACACCUGCCGCUGCCACUGGCUAACUAGAAACAACACGUCCAGCAAUCUUUUCUCUAAUGAAGCCGAAGAAAGCCGGUGCUAUCUGCUGUACUGUACACAAGCAAAGCAAGUUCGUCUUUCACCUGCUAUUCUGAAAACAAAGGCCAUGCAUACAUAUACGCGAGCAAGUAAAUCCCCUCAUGCUGCAGCAGAAGUAAUUGCCAUUAUUGGAAGAAUUUAUCCUCUACUUUUGCUUUCUUGUAUACGAGAACCGUUUAUGGGUGAUGAUGAUCAGAAGAUGAUGACCGAAGGCUCAUGGUGUGAGAAUUGAGCAAUUGGAUUAAGGCAAGUAUAGCAUUUGGAUUUUAUUUCUGUGACCAUGAUCCUGUGACUAGAUUAAUGUUAAGUAAUAGACGAUAAAAAUGACUUUUUAGCAACUUGAUGAU